CCCUCCGUCGUCUUCGUAAUUCAAAUAUGUAAACAGCCCAGUAUGGCCUCUAGGCUGGUUUCUCGGUUAAUUUUGCCGAAACGUAUCGAAAAAUGUUCAUUUUAUUUCUAGAUAAUUUAUGCAAACAUAUGGUCUCUGUUGCGCAUCUGGUGUAGUGGUGUCAUAGUACCCUCCCACGGUACUGACCGGGGUCCGAUUCUCCGGAUGCGCAAUUAUUUGUCUUUUUGCUGCCCAAUAAAUUAAAAUUAGAACCAUUUAACGGAUGAAAGUUUUGCGAUAUGUCAAUUGCAGGCUUGCAGAAGUUUUGCUAUAUGUCAAUUGCGGGCUUGCAGCUUUUCUAUGAACACAAAGCCUUUUCUCAUCCAAAUAUCCAAUGAUGAUGCCUAACUCUCAGCUCAGCGUCACAGCAGAAAGAAUCAUUCGUCUUCUACAAAUGUGCAUUUCUCAGACUCAUAUCCACCAAAUCCAAGCCCAACUCAUACUAAAUAAACUCCACUCUAACACCACUGUUGCCCAUCAUUUCAUCACUGCCUGCCAGAAUCUAUCCCUCUUGCACUCCUCUCUCCCUCUCUUCUUCUUCGCGCACCUCCCUAAACCUCAUGUUUUCAUUUGCAAUAAUAUUAUAAGGGCCUUCUCCCACUCUCAAGCUCCUUAUAUUCCUUAUUCAAUAUAUUCCUACAUGCAUAAUAACUCCAUUCUUCCUAACAACUACACCUUUCCUUUUCUUCUCAAGUCCUUGUCUGACUUCAAGGAUUUCAAGCAAGCCCGAUCCGUACAUACCCAUGUUGUAAAGUUUGGUCAUUUAAAUGAUAUUUAUGUCCAGAACUCUUUGCUAAAUGUCUAUGCUUCAUGUGGCCAUAUGGGAUUGUGUCGGCAACUGUUUGAUGAAAUGCCUGACAAAGAUGUUGUCUCGUGGACUAUUUUGAUUAUGGGGUAUAGGAGUGCUGGGAACUAUGAUGAUGCGUUGAUUGCUUUUGAGCAGAUGCAAUAUGCGGGUUUAGUGCCUAAUCAUGUUACCAUGGUGAAUGUGUUAGGUGCCUGUGCGAGUUUUGGGGCCAUUGAAAUGGGUAUUUGGAUACAUGAUUUUAUAAGGAGGAAAAGGUGGGAGAUAGAUGUGAUUUUAGGGACUUCUUUGAUUGAUAUGUACAUGAAAUGCGGGAGAAUUGAUGAAGGUUUGGAUGUGUUUAGAAGCAUGAAAGAGAGGAACAUUUUUGCUUGGAAUGCUGUUAUUAAAGGACUAGCUUUUGCUAAAUGUGGGCAGGAGGCUGUUCUGUUUUUGAAUAGGAUGGAGGAAGAAGGACUAAACCCAGAUGAAGUCACUUUGGUGAAUGUGCUUAGUGCUUGCAGCCAUGCGGGGAUGGUUGAUAUGGGCCAACGAAUAUUUAGUUCAUUGAUCAAUGGGAAGUAUGGAUUUUCACCUAAUGCUAAGCAUUAUGCAUGUAUGGUUGACCUCUUUGCACGAGCUGGGCAUCUUGAUGAGGCUUUCAAAUUCAUCAGAGAAAUGCCUUUUGAGCCUACAAUACCUAUGUGGGGAUCAUUGCUGGCUGUCUGUAGGGCUCAGAGAAACUUGGAAUUAAGUGAAUUUGUGGCUAAGAAACUUGUUGAACUGGAACCAGGGAAUAGUGCUUAUUAUGUAGUUCUCUCUAACUUGUACUCAGAGAUGGGGAGAUGGACCGAUGCUGCACGAGUCAGGGAAUUAAUGAAGGAAAGGGGACUUAAGAAGUAUUUGGGCUCUAGUUCUGUAGAAUCCAAACCCAGGGAUAUGAUCAUGAAUUACUAGUCCAAUAAGUCCCAUCGUCUUUGAAUGCAAAGUAAUUGUAAUCCUUUUGCUGGGUAUGGAUGUUUGUAUUGUUUGAUAGGGCCAUAUCAACUGUGAUCAUACUGACUCCAGGAUUGCACAAUUGAUAGAAUCCGUUAUUUCUGGAUCCUCUGGUUAAAGGGUUACUGGUCACAGGUGAAUAUGGCAAUGAGGGACUGAUCUUGUUAUCUAACACUACCUCGCUGGCCCAACAACUACUCUGAAGAUCCUAAUGAUGUGAAAUCUUCGUCUGGCAAGUUUCAAGAGCUCACAUCAAGAUCUAUUAGGGACACUAUCCUUUGUCAGUUCCUUAAGGCUCCUGAACAGGUGAAAUGAUCUCCGUAGUGUAUGGUGUAAACAAUAUGCAUGCUAAUCAGAAUGAGAAAGGAACCAGCGAGAGUUACUAUUUUAAUAGGGAUUACGCAAAAUCAUACUGCAAUUGGAUAAUGAAUUUACUUCACUUGUGAUAUGGAGGUCAUGGAUUCGGGUCAUGAAAAGAGCCUCUUUACAAGCACAUAAGUUAUAUACUUCAACUGUUUCCAAAGCCUGCAAACUUAAAAUGUUUCGUGCGCUAAAUCACCU